GGUACCCGAGACUCCCGCGAUUGAUGCGUUUGCGUGUGUAUGUUUGGUGGUAGAGGGCGGUUGAAGGCGAAAUGGUAUGCAAAUG
ensembl:ncRNA M79.12 ncRNA